rnacentral:tRNA from 1 species
GGCCCCAUAGCUCAAUUGGAUGGAGCGCACACCCGCUAAAUGUAAGGUCCAGGUUCGAUCCCGGUGUGGCCACCA